rnacentral:precursor_RNA from 1 species
GGGAAACGGGGCGCGGCCGGAAAGCGCGGCCGCCCCCUCGCCCG